rnacentral:lncRNA from 1 species
UUUUACUUUUCUUUUAUUGAAAAAAAAAUUAGAAGAAAAAAGAUAUAUAUAAAAACAUAGAAUUGUCAUAUCUUACAAAGACCCAGAAGGAGAUCCAGAAGGAAGAGGAGCUGCUUCAGGUGGAGGAUUAACGUUGCUGUGUCUCGCAAACGUCGUCGUUUGCUGAUUCUUCCACAUACUCAAGUUUCUGCAACUUUUACCAAGCAAAUUCCAUGCAUAUUGCUUGCUCUUCAACAAAGGUGUUUCCGAAACAGGCUUGAAGAAUCGCGGUUCAUCUUUCGGUUUCAAAGACAGCAUAAAAUUAGCACCAAUGACUCUUGAAGACAUUUCUUGAAGCUUCAAACACUUGUAUAUCUAAAAAAAGAUGUAUGCACUAGAAAAUGGAAAAUUGUUAAUGGAGUUGUUGAAGUUAAUGGUUACGUACAUGUUUAUAUUAUAUGUAAAUAAAAAGUAUUGACUU